rnacentral:rRNA from 1 species
GAUGAACGCUGGCGGCGUGCCUAAUACAUGCAAGUCGAGCGAACGGACGAGAAGCUUGCUUCUCUGAUGUUAGCGGCGGACGGGUGAGUAACACGUGUAUAACCUCCCUAUAAGACUGGGAUAACUUCGGGAAACCGGAGCUAAUACCGGAUAAUAUUUUGAACCGCAUGGUUCAAAAGUGAAAGACGGUCUUGCUGUCACUUAUAGAUGGAUCCGCGCUGCAUUAGCUAGUUGGUAAGGUAACGGCUUACCAAGGCAACGAUGCAUAGCCGACCUGAGAGGGUGAUCGGCCACACUGGAACUGAGACACGGUCCAGACUCCUACGGGAGGCAGCAGUAGGGAAUCUUCCGCAAUGGGCGAAAGCCUGACGGAGCAACGCCGCGUGAGUGAUGAAGGUCUUCGGAUCGUAAAACUCUGUUAUUAGGGAAGAACAUAUGUGUAAGUAGCUGUGCACAUCUUGACGGUACCUAAUCAGAAAGCCACGGCUAACUACGUG